UACGUAGGGUGCAAGCGUUAAUCGGAAUUACUGGGCGUAAAGCGUGCGCAGGCGGUUUUGUAAGUCUGACGUGAAAUCCCCGGGCUCAACCUGGGAAUUGCGUUGGAGACUGCAAGGCUAGAAUCUGGCAGAGGGGGGUAGAAUUCCACGUGUAGCAGUGAAAUGCGUAGAGAUGUGGAGGAACACCGAUGGCGAAGGCAGCCCCCUGGGUCAAGAUUGACGCUCAUGCACUAAAGCGUGGGGAGCAAACAGG
rnacentral:rRNA from 1 species